CCCCCGAUUCCCGGGGAGUCUCCUGAGGCCACUCUCGUGCCCUUAUCACUUUUCCAGCCCAGCUUCUUCACUCUAACUGUUGGACGGAGAACUGAUAAGGGUAUGCGGGUGA
rnacentral:pre_miRNA from 12 species